rnacentral:rRNA from 1 species
UACGGAGGGUGCAAGCGUUAAUCGGAAUUACUGGGCGUAAAGCGCACGCAGGUGGCUGAGUCAGUCGAUUGUGAAAGCCCUGGGCUUAACCUGGGAAUUGCAGUCGAUACUACUCAGCUAGAGUAUGGGAGAGGGAAGCGGAAUUCCUGGUGUAGAGGUGAAAUUCGUAGAUAUCAGGAGGAACACCGGUGGCGAAGGCGGCUUCCUGGACAGUUACUGACGCUGAGACGCGAAAGCGUGGGGAGCAAACAGG